rnacentral:rRNA from 1 species
UACGUAGGGUGCGAGCGUUGUCCGGAAUCAUUGGGCGUAAAGAGCUCGUAGGCGGUUCAGUAAGUCGGCUGUGAAAUUCCGAGGCUCAACCUCGGAACUGCAGUCGAUACUAUUGUGACUAGAGUCCGGUAGAGGAGAAUGGAAUUCCCGGUGUAGCGGUGAAAUGCGCAGAUAUCGGGAGGAACACCGGUAGCGAAGGCGGUUCUCUGGGCCGGUACUGACGCUGAGGAGCGAAAGCGUGGGGAGCAAACAGG